AUGUUAAUAAUAACGAGAACGACACAACCAAACACCCCUCUUCUCCCUGCUCUUUCUUUCUCUGGUGGUGAUGGGGGUACCCGGGGCCGGGCUGUGCUCCCCCCAGGGCCCCGUACUGGCCUUGGGGACCAGUUAUCCCCCCCCCUCUGUGCCCAGGGGGUGCUCAGCCGGGCUGCGGGCUGUAUUUCGGAGAAGGACAUGACUAUUGGUGCCACCUGGCUCCAGCAUUUCUGUAGGGUCAGACCGUUUUCCUCUGCUGCGGGGCAUAAACGUGUGUGGCAGGGAGCACGGGGUUGGGAGCUGGAGCCCCCAGAGCGGUCCUGGUGUCCCCCCCCAAAUUUUUUUGCCCCCUCUCUGCCUGCAAACCUCACAGCAGGCAGAGCCAGGGCUGCGUGGGGCAUCCCGGUAGCGUGGGGUGGGGACGCGCUCUGGGACUGGGGGUCCUUGGCCCCCUGCAGGUCCUGGGGGGGGAGCCUGGUGCCCCAGGAGCUGCGUUUUGGGUUGGAAGUGGGGCACGGGGGCCCUCGGCACAGCAGCAGGAGGGAGGGCCAGGACCAGCAGGAUUUGGGGGGGCGCUUCUUUGCCCCCCUGUGUCACCUCCGUGAUGUUCCCGAGGUGCUCCGUGACCCUGCAGUGUGCGCCCCCGGGGUGCACCCCUAUUUGGGAUCACCCCGACCUCUCCUCUCUGCCCACUGCAGCCUCAGCACCGGGCAGCUGCAGAGAUGGGGGGGUUCCCCCAUGACCCCCCCACACCACCCAGGGGAUGCUGAGACCCGUGGGCUCACCCCGCUGGGGACCAUGACAGGGGGUCACCGGCAUCCUCCCCUCAGCUUCCCCUGCACCAAAUUCCUUCAAAAAAUGAGACGAAACAAACAAAAAAGCUGCAAAAUCCUCCCCAGCUCGCCGUGCCGUGCCGUGCCGGCCUUCGCUAGGUGUCUCCACUCUCCCCCUGUUUCUCCCUGCGCCAGCAGCCCCGCUCGCUCCAUCGCCGCUGCCAAAAUCGCAGGCGCACAACCCAAAUUUCAGCCUCCCUGCUCGCCGACCCCAGUCCCCACCAAAGAGGGGCCAAGCCUGGGGGCGGGGUUCCCCACUCCCUUUUUUUUCUUGUAUUUUUUUUUCUUUUUUUUUUUCUUUUUUUUCCCAGCUUUUGGAUUUUUAAGUUAUUGUUUUAGCCGAGUUUACAGCCGCCGCGUUGCUGCCCUGCCCCGCGGGAGCACGGAGGGGUGGGUGGGCACCUCCGUGGCAUUCUGUGCCCCCCGACCCCCCCCCCCCAGACCCCUCCCCAUUGCAGCUCUGACAGCCCCGAGUGUUUCACCCCCAGCAGGACUCCCUGCAUCCAUCCGGACCUUUUUCCUCCCAUCUUCGGGGGAUUUUUUUUUCGCUUUAUCCAUAGAAAUGCUGGGGGUCCUUCCCCCCUCUCCCACCCCUCCAUCCCUUUUUGCUGGACUUUUUGAUGCUGCUGUCGGGGAUGCAGGGAACAGCGGGGUCCUGAUCCCAGCCCUAUGGGGCCGGGGGCACCCAGCCCUGCCAGGGGGGUGCCAGGCAGGAGUGGGGGUGCCCAAAUGUGCCCCCCCCAGACACCCUGGAGCCGUUUUGCUGGUGGCUCCUGCCCGGCAUCCACCUGGC
rnacentral:lncRNA from 1 species